CGAACUACCCUCGCUGCCUUCACCAGCCCAACCAAGAAUCUGCAUGGCUCAAACGUGAUUCUCCAGCACAUGUGAAAUUCAAGGCUGUUGUGACUGCUCCGCUGCUCAUGAAAGACAUUGGGCAACUGUCCCCUACAACACAAACAUACGGGCUGGAGUCCUACCACAGCGUGCUGAAUACCUUUGCAUCAAAGUCUGUGGCUUUUUCUCCUGAAGGAAUGUAUGAAAGAACUUGUCUUGCGGUGCUACAUUUCAAUGAAAAUUCCUGUCGCAAGCAAGCAAGAACUCUAACCGAUGAAGAGAGGUGGAAACUGAAAGUGCCAAAAGGGAGAGGAGGGCAUGUUGUUGCCUGCUCUGUGAAAGAAGA